CCGCCUUGGAUGGACAGAGGGACGGAGCAGCAAGCAUCCGGCUUCCCCGGCUCCCCUGCAGCGGUCUCCAACUGCUGUCUGCCCGCUGCCCGAUGCCCGCCUGCCUGGCAUCUCUCUCCCGGUGCUAGCUGCAUUCCUGGCCUGGGAGCAGGGAGCCUGUCUGACCCCUGUGUCACACUGGAUGGUUUUACAGAGGUGCCCCACCUGAUGCUGCAUGGAAGUCAUCACCCUACAGUGGUCCUUUCAUGACAGGCCGAAAGGUCACCAUAUGACAAACAGGACACAUCUGCCACAACUAGGAGGUGGGGCUGCUUCCCAAAGGACCCUGUGCCAGGUGAAGAUGAGCCAGGGUCUCUGUACUGGCUGGUUUUGUGUGUCAACUUGACACAGGCUGGAGUUAUCGCAGAGAAAGGAGCCUCAGUUGAGGAAAUGCCAUGAGAUC
rnacentral:lncRNA from 1 species